rnacentral:lncRNA from 1 species
GUAUAUUAUAAAUAAAAUGGUGAAAUCUCAUGCAAGAGUACAACCACAUAGUUAAGUCAAAAAAAAAAAAAAAGAGUACAACCACAUAGAAAUUAGAGUACAAGAAGUACUAAAGUCAAGUAAUAAUAAAAAACAUAGAAUCCCACACAGAAAAACAAAAGUAAGAACUAAAACACCAACGGAAAACCAACUAAACUCCUAUCAAGAACCCUCAACCACAGGCUAAAGUUUAGAGUUCGACUCGACUUUUAGUUCGUCGAACUUGGUUCAUGAACCAAAUGAGUUGAGUUUGAGCUGAAAAUUAAAUUCGUUAAAUAAAUGGCUGAGCUUCAACUAUAUAUAGUUUAACUCAUUUGAAAGUUCAACUCACUUAGUUCAUGAACCGACUUGAUUACAAAUAUAUAUUUGCAACAUGUGGCAAAUUUCAAGGGGCAACAUAGAGAGUUAGCACAAAACAAGUCCCACAUGGAAGGUCUUGUAAGCUUACAAAGGUCAACGUAAAAUAAGCGCUUGUGUUGCAUCCUUCUACGAUGUUUUUUCACUGUCAUUAAAGUGACAUACACAUUCCAUUUUUCACUUGAACAAAGUAGUUUAAUUUUUUUUAAGUUACCACUAUUACGUGAGCACUCGGUUUCUUGAACCAAUUUGUGGUUUGGAAGUGGUUUUAGGGAAUUCUAUAGAUUUGUAUGUAUAUUUAAUAUUUUCCUUUUAAAAAAUAAUUAAAUUAAAUGGUGAAAAGAUCUAAACAAUUAUCUCUUUUUUUAGGGGUGAAGAUCCUCUCAAUUUGGCAAAAUAUAUGGAGUUUUACAAGUUGGAGAGAGAUAGAAACAAAAAAUAGAUGGUGGGUCCUACCACUAAGUGGGUCCCACCAUCAUUAAUUAUAUUUUACUUUUUUCAAAAUUUUAUGUGUCUUUAUCUCUCCAAAUUGAAGAAAUGGAGAAACAUAUAAAUGGAGAUGAUCCUAACCCUGACCAUAAUGUUUUCAUAAAAACCACUUUCAAGAGGAAAAUUUAACAAUAUCCACCAACCGUAGCAGAUAUGUUAAUAUUUGUUAAAAGUGGAGAAAGAAAAGCCCAAUUUUUGCACGAAAUUUAGCCUAGGAUGGUCCUUCCCAACGACUUAGGUUUUCAGAGCCACCCAUGACAACCAAGAAUGAUUUCAUAAUAAAUAAUAAUUAUUUUAACAAUUUUGUUUUAAAAUCAAUCCAAUUUACUUUGUAAAUAUUAUGAUUCGCAUAAUUGACGUGAAUAAAAAAGUAAAAUAAAUUAUGCAAUGAAAUUUUAAAUCUACAUUUUACACGUUCAUAAUAAUGUUCUCACUCGAAUGGUGUAAUAUAUUCAUACAUGCCUUUACUAUCACGAAAGGGUAAAAAAUUAGUGAAGGAAAAGAUAAUGAAAAGUUAGCUAAAUUAUAUUUAAUUAUUAUGAUUAUUAAGCUUAUAAUAUGAUUCUAAAAUAACUUAUUGAUAUAUUUAAGAGAUAAUUAGUGAUAAAUCUAAUGUUAUGAAGGGUUUUAAAAAUUUUAUAAUGCUUAAAUCAUUUAAUUAUUUUUAUAAGACCAUAAACUUUAUACAUUAUAAAGAGAUCAAGUCAUUUACUAUUAUUUACAUGCAAAUAGAAAGAAAAAAAAUAUGGUCGAAACUUUAAAGUUAGUUUAUGUUCUGAUUCUAUUUUAUUCCAUAUUUCUUGGCAUAAUAGUAUGUAAUUCUUCUCUAAUUUCGUAAAGGCUUCUGUGUACAGAUCUGAAACAUACUAAUGAUAUAAAUGAGCUCUUGCUCUAGCAAGAUAAUUGUAUGAUAUAUCUUAUGUUAAAAUGUUUCAUUUGUUAUCAUUUAGAUUUUAUGCAUGCACUAAAUAUUUAUUCCUCCUCCUGCUCCUCAAUAUUAAUUUCACAUAAUCCUCAUCUUGAAACCAUUAAUUCAAACCAAGUCUUAUCAAAUCCAUUGUUAAUUAUGUGUCACGCCUCACUGAGAUGAGACAAUAUGAAAAUAUUAUAAUGAAUCAACAAUAAGCAGUAUCAAAAAGAAAUUAAACAAAAAAACUACAUUUUUUUAAUGUAAAAUACAUAUAUUAUAAAUAAAAAGGUGAAAUCUCAUGCAAGAGUACAACCACAUAGAAAUUAAUGUACAAGAAGUACUAAAGUCAAGCAAUAAUAAAAAACAUAGAAUCCCACCCACAGAAAAACAAAAGUAAGAACUAAAACACCAACGGAAAACCAACUAAACUCCUAUCAAGAACCCUCAACCACAGGCUAAAGUUUAGAGUUCGACUCGACUUUUAGUUCGUCGAACUUGGUUCAUGAACCAAAUAAGUUGAGUUUGAGCUGAAAAUUAAAUUCGUUAAAUAAAUGAAUGAGCUUCAACUAUAUAUAAUUUAACUCAUUUGAAAGUUAAGCUCAUUUAGUUCAUGAAUCGACUCGAUUACAAAUAUAUAUUUGCAACAUGUGGCAAAUUUCAAGGGGCAACAUAGAGAGUUAGCACAAAACAAGUCCCACAUCGAAGGUCUUGUAAGCUAACAAAGGUCAAAGUAAAAUAAGCUCUUGUGUUGCAUCCUUCUACGAUGUGUUUUCACUGUCAUUAAAGUGACAUACACAUUCCAUUUUUCACUUGAACAAAGUAGUUUAAUUUUUUUUAAGUUACCACUAUUACGUGAGCACUCGGUUUCUUGAACCAAUUUGUGGUUUGGAAGGGGUUUUUGGGAAUUCUAUAGAUUUGUAUAUCUAAUAUUUGCCUUUUAAAAAUAAUUAAAUUAAAUGGUGAAAAGAUCUAAAAAAAUAUCUCUUUUUUUACAACAAAAGAAAAUAAUUUGAAUUAUGAGUUUCAAGCUAACUAACCGAACCUAACGAGUCGAACUGAGUUGUUCAUGAACUUUUAAUGAGUCGAACUUAAGCCAAAAAAUAGUUCAUAUCGAAUUCGAGUCGAGUUUCGAGCCGAACUAUUUCUUAAAGAGUUGAGUCGAGCUCAGACAAGUUCGACACGAUUCGAUACAUUUCCAGCCCUAACCACAACCGAACAAGAGCAAGACUAGGAACAUAACCCAUCAGUCAACCAAUCCAAGACAAAUCUACCAUAAGUCACUAACGGUGUCAACAUAGAAUGUGUUCAUGAUCCCAAUUAUAGAAGGAACAAGGGUGACCACAAUGUUUUCAUAAAAACCACUUUCAAGAGGAAAAUUUAACAAUAUCCACCAACCGUAGCAGAUCAGUUAAUAUUUGUUAAAAGUGGAGAAAGAAAAGCCCAAUUUUUGCACGUAAUUUAGCCUAGGAUGGUCCUUCCCAACGACUUAGGUUUUCAGAGCCACCCAUGACAACCAAGAAUGAUUCCAUAAUAAAUAAUAAUUAUUUUAACAAUUUUGUUUUAAAAUCAAUACCAAUUUACUUUGUAAAUAUUCUGAUUCGCAUAAUUGACGUGAAUAAAAAAGUAGAAUAAAUUAUGCAAUGAAAUUUUAAAUUUACAUUUUACACGUUCAUAAUAAUGUUCUCACUCCAAUGGUGUAAUAUAUUCAUACAUACCUUUACUAUCACGAAAGGGUAAAAAAUUAGUGAAGGAAAAGAUAAUGAAAAGUUAGCUAAAUUAUAUUUAAUUAUUAUGAUUAUUAAGCUUAUUAUAUGAUUCUAAAAUAACUUAUUGAUAUAUUUAUGAGAUAAUUAGUGAUGAUUCUAAUGUUAUGAAGGGUUUUUAAAAUUUUAUAAUGCUUAAAUCAUUUAAUUAUUUUUAUAAGACCAUAAACUUUAUACAUUAUAAAGAGAUCAAGUCAUUUACUAUUAUUUAGAUGUAAAUAGAAAGAAAAAAAAAUAUGGUUGAAACUUUAAAGUUGGUUUAUGUUCUGAUUCUAUUUUAUUCCAUAUUUCUUGGCAUAAUAGUAUGUAAUUCUUCUGGAAUUACGUAUUUUGACGUUCGUUGUGAAAAAGAUAAAGAUUGUCCAAAACCUCCGAGGAUUAAUAUUAGGAUUAAUAUUAGGUGUCGUAAAGGCUUCUGUGUACAGAUCUGAAACAUACUAAUGAUAUAAAUGAGUUCUUGCUUUAACAAGAUAAUUGUAUGAUAUAUCUUAUGUUAAAAUGUUUCAUUUGUUAUCAUUUAGAUUUUAUGCAUGCACUAAAUAUUUAUUCCUCCUCCUGCUCCUCAAUACUAAUUUCACAUAAUCCUCAUCUUGAAACCAUUAAUUCAAACCAAGUCUUAUCAAAUCCAUUGUUAAUUAUGUUUCAGUCCUCACUGAGAUGAGACAAUAUGAAAAUAUUAUAAUGAAUCAACAAUAAGCAGUAUCAAAAAGAAAUUAAACAAAAAAACUACAUUUUUUUAAUGUAAAAUACAUAUAUUAUAAAUAAAAAGGUGAAAUCUCAUGCAAGAGUACAACCACAUAGAAAUUAAUGUACAAGAAGUACUAAAGUCAAGCAAUAAUAAAAAACAUAGAAUCCCACCCACAGAAAAACAAAAGUAAGAACUAAAACACCAACGGAAAACCAACUAAACUCCUAUCAAGAACCCUCAACCACAGGCUAAAGUUUAGAGUUCGACUCGACUUUUAGUUCGUCGAACUUGGUUCAUGAACCAAAUAAGUUGAGUUUGAGCUGAAAAUUAAAUUCGUUAAAUAAAUGAAUGAGCUUCAACUAUAUAUAAUUUAACUCAUUUGAAAGUUAAGCUCAUUUAGUUCAUGAAUCGACUCGAUUACAAAUAUAUAUUUGCAACAUGUGGCAAAUUUCAAGGGGCAACAUAGAGAGUUAGCACAAAACAAGUCCCACAUCGAAGGUCUUGUAAGCUAACAAAGGUCAAAGUAAAAUAAGCUCUUGUGUUGCAUCCUUCUACGAUGUGUUUUCACUGUCAUUAAAGUGACAUACACAUUCCAUUUUUCACUUGAACAAAGUAGUUUAAUUUUUUUUAAGUUACCACUAUUACGUGAGCACUCGGUUUCUUGAACCAAUUUGUGGUUUGGAAGGGGUUUUUGGGAAUUCUAUAGAUUUGUAUAUCUAAUAUUUGCCUUUUAAAAAUAAUUAAAUUAAAUGGUGAAAAGAUCUAAAAAAAUAUCUCUUUUUUUACAACAAAAGAAAAUAAUUUGAAUUAUGAGUUUCAAGCUAACUAACCGAACCUAACGAGUCGAACUGAGUUGUUCAUGAACUUUUAAUGAGUCGAACUUAAGCCAAAAAAUAGUUCAUAUCGAAUUCGAGUCGAGUUUCGAGCCGAACUAUUUCUUAAAGAGUUGAGUCGAGCUCAGACAAGUUCGACACGAUUCGAUACAUUUCCAGCCCUAACCACAACCGAACAAGAGCAAGACUAGGAACAUAACCCAUCAGUCAACCAAUCCAAGACAAAUCUACCAUAAGUCACUAACGGUGUCAACAUAGAAUGUGUUCAUGAUCCCAAUUAUAGAAGGAACAAGGGUGACCACAAUGUUUUCAUAAAAACCACUUUCAAGAGGAAAAUUUAACAAUAUCCACCAACCGUAGCAGAUCAGUUAAUAUUUGUUAAAAGUGGAGAAAGAAAAGCCCAAUUUUUGCACGUAAUUUAGCCUAGGAUGGUCCUUCCCAACGACUUAGGUUUUCAGAGCCACCCAUGACAACCAAGAAUGAUUCCAUAAUAAAUAAUAAUUAUUUUAACAAUUUUGUUUUAAAAUCAAUAUCAAUUUACUUUGUAAAUAUUCUGAUUCGCAUAAUUGACGUGAAUAAAAAAGUAGAAUAAAUUAUGCAAUGAAAUUUUAAAUUUACAUUUUACACGUUCAUAAUAAUGUUCUCACUCCAAUGGUGUAAUAUAUUCAUACAUACCUUUACUAUCACGAAAGGGUAAAAAAUUAGUGAAGGAAAAGAUAAUGAAAAGUUAGCUAAAUUAUAUUUAAUUAUUAUGAUUAUUAAGCUUAUUAUAUGAUUCUAAAAUAACUUAUUGAUAUAUUUAUGAGAUAAUU